GACGAACGCUGGCGGCGUGCUUAACACAUGCAAGUCGAACGGAAAGGCUCCAGCUUGCUGGAGUACUCGAGUGGCGAACGGGUGAGUAACACGUGGGUAAUCUGCCCUGCACUCUGGGAUAAGCCUGGGAAACUGGGUCUAGUACUGGAUAUGACCUUUCUCCUUAUGGGGUUUGGUGGAAAGUUUUUCGGUGUAGGAUGAGCCCGCGGCCUAUCAGCUUGUUGGUGGGGUGAUGGCCUACCAAGGCGACGACGGGUAGCCGGCCUGAGAGGGUGAUCGGCCACAUUGGGACUGAGAUACGGCCCAGACUCCUACGGGAGGCAGCAGUGGGGAAUAUUGCACAAUGGGCGGAAGCCUGAUGCAGCGACGCCGCGUGAGGGAUGACGGCCUUCGGGUUGUAAACCUCUUUCAGCAGGGACGAAGCGUAAGUGACGGUACCUGCAGAAGAAGCACCGGCUAACUACGU
rnacentral:rRNA from 1 species